UACGUAGGGACCAAGCGUUGUUCGGAAUUACUGGGCGUAAAGCGUGCGUAGACGGUUAUGUAAGUCGGGUGUGAAAGCCCCGGGCUCAACCUGGGAAUGCCAUUCGAGACUGCAUAGCUAGGGUGCGGAAGAGGGAAGCGGAAUUUCCGGUGUAGCGGUGAAAUGCGUAGAUAUCGGAAGGAACACCAGUGGCGAAAGCGGCUUCCUGGUCCAGCACCGACGUUCAGGCACGAAAGCGUGGGGAGCAAACAGG
rnacentral:rRNA from 1 species